rnacentral:rRNA from 1 species
UUGACGGAGAGUUUGAUCCUGGCUCAGGACGAACGCUGGCGGCGGGCCUAAUACAUGCAAGUCGAACGCAGUCGACCUUCGGGUCAUAUGACUGAGUGGCGAACGGGUGAGUAACACGUGAGAAACCUGCCCCGAAGACUGGAAUAACCCGAGGAAACUCGGGCUAAUACCGGAUGUCCCCAGAUGGCCGCAUGGCCGACUGAGGAAAUGCUCCGGCGCUUUGGGAGGGUCUCGCGGCCUAUCAGCUUGUUGGUGAGGUAACGGCUCACCAAGGCUUCGACGGGUAGCUGGUCUGAGAGGACGAUCAGCCACACUGGGACUGAGAUACGGCCCAGACUCCUACGGGAGGCAGCAGUAGGGAAUCUUGCGCAAUGGGCGAAAGCCUGACGCAGCCACGCCGCGUGAGUGAUGAAGGCCUUCGGGUCGUAAAGCUCUUUCAGCAGGGACGAAAAUGACGGUACCUGCAGAAGAAGCCCCGGCCAACUACGUGCCAGCAGCCGCGGUAACACGUAGGGGGCAAGCGUUGUCCGGAUUUAUUGGGCGUAAAGGGCUCGUAGGCUGUUCAGUAAGUCAGGUGUGAAAACUCGAGGCUCAACCUCGAGAUGCCACUUGAUACUGCUGUGACUAGAGUUCGGUAGAGGAGUGUGGAAUUCCUAGUGUAGCGGUGAAAUGCGCAGAUAUUAGGAGGAACACCAACAGCGAAGGCAGCACUCUGGGCCGAUACUGACGCUGAGGAGCGAAAGCGUGGGGAGCGAACAGGAUUAGAUACCCUGGUAGUCCACGCCGUAAACGGUGGGCACUAGAUGUGGGAUCCAGUCAACGGAUUCCGCGUCGUAGCUAACGCAUUAAGUGCCCCGCCUGGGGAGUACGGCCGCAAGGCUAAAACUCAAAGGAAUUGACGGGGGCCCGCACAAGCGGCGGAGCAUGUUGCUUAAUUCGAGGCAACGCGAAGAACCUUACCUGGGUUUGACAUGUAGGGAAAAGCCAUAGAGAUAUGGUGUCCUUAGGGGCCUUACACAGGUGGUGCAUGGCUGUCGUCAGCUC